ACUUAUGAAGGAAUCGUUCCUUACGCUGAUGCUUCGUUCACUCGGUUUUCCUUCGAAAUACUAUUUUUCCUGAUGCAAGAAGGUUCCCUUCUACGGUCGUAGAGCAUUUUCUUCCCGUUACUCGCGCCAGCCGCUUUGAAAUAACUCGCCACAACUGGCUCGGCAUCGAUCGGAGCUUAAUAAUAGCCGCGGCAUCGUUCUCGAGGACUAUUUUUAGCGUUACCCAGUCAUCGCGACCUACAGCAGCCGGCGAGCGACCAACGAUUUUCAAUGGCAAUCGUUUAACGUCGAGACCGCGCGCUACUCACGUAUUGUGUCGGCGCGUCCGACUCCUUUCAACCAAUUUUCGGACGUGACAAUGCCAGUUAAACUUUUAAUGGAACUUUGGACGAUUGUUUAUCUUGGUGAAGUUGCUUGAUUGAGGUGUUUAACUAACGGGAGACGUGGGAAGUGAAGUUGCAUCGACUUGUUAAGGUUUUAGUGUAUUCUUAAUAGGAUAGUAUUCUGAAAGUUUGUGACGACUGUUGCAUAUGUUUGUUGAAUUAGAAAUGAUGGCCAAUGAAUGUUAUGUUACUCGUUAUAAGUAAAAGUUUUAGUCGUAUUAAUCGUUUAAACCCCUCUCUUGUGAUAUAGUUAUAGUCGUGGCAGACUAUAUUCGAGUUACAAACAAGAAUCGUAUUCGAACUGAGCCUUCAUUUUGAUUUUACGUUUCCACUGAGUUUAUGAAAUUGAAAAUCAAUAGAUCAAUAGAGUUUCGUAUAGUAUUUCGAUGAUUUUCGUAUUAAUUGCAGAGUUUUCAAAGUAAAUUAAAGUAAAUCAAAGUAAAUUAAUUUUAAGAGGUGUAGUUAAAGCAAAUCGUAAAGAAAAAGAUUAAGUAGAAACGAUCUGUCUUUGGCAGACUACAUUGCGAUGGCCACGAUACGUAAAACAGGAACGACAUUUGAAAAUUUAUUUAUAUAAAUCUAACAAAUCUGCUUCAUAAAUCUAUCAAAAACAACUUAGUUUUGAUAUUUAUAUAGAUAAAUCUAACGCGAACUAAAAUAUUGUAGUUUUCCUCAUACCAAUUGCGCGUACACAGUUGCAACAGAAUUGGAUAAUCAAAACAGGUUUGUUCCGAAAUAAAUCGUAAAGCAAAGGGGCUGAGCAAUAAAUCUUGAUACUUGUAUAUCCUCUGCUGCAUAAAAUUAAGCAACAAGGUAAAAGAACGAAUAAACCGUCCAGUGCGAAUUACCGUCCCGUUCUCACGACAAUUGAGAAUUAUCCCCGAGUUGAAAAUCACGAAGGCAGAGCGAGCGUCCGACGAUAAAUAAUAUCCAGCGAUGAAUUAUUUUUAUAUCGGGAUCCCGUGUAGCCACGGAUUCCUGUCACGUCGAAACAUUGAAACGAGCAAAAUGAGCCAUCCACGAGGCCAUCACGCCACGGGGAUCCUCGUAUCGAUGGGAAAAUAAAGCAAGAACUCCAUAACCCACGGCGGAUUCAACCGGGCGAAUGGGUGGCGGAGCAGAAACAAAGAAAUUGUCGAAGCUAAAAAUUGAAGAUUUCGGCUUCGAUUAUCGGACAAUUAGCUCAGAAUAGUCGCGAUCGAAACGUUCUGGACGUGUGAACCGCAUUGUUUAAAACCGCAAUAUAAAUUCUGAAUGCUUUCUUUCUACUCUAGUAUAAAUUACAAGGUUUACCGAGCGACGAAACCAAUCAUUUACUUUUGAUACUAUUCGGCUAAGGCAUUUUGCUCGGGAAGGUAGGAAGUUGCGGAGGAAGUUAAGAAAAAGGACUCGAGAGUGAAAGUGCAAGAUAACAAGUUUGAGAAAGAGGAUUGUUUAGAUGGUAUAGUAUAUGUGCUAAAGAACAGACAGAAUAUUUUUCGUUUUGAAAAAAUUGCAUGCGUUGUGCUUAUGUGGACAUUUCGACUUGAAAGGGAGAUCAAUGAUUUUCGAUCUUUUCGCGGCUGACUUUGAAAGAUUGCUAUCGAAGAAUUAUUGCGCUAAAACUGCGAGUCGCGAACACGUAUCGAGUCAGCAAUAAACCGAACGUGUAAAGUGGAUGUAUUAACCUGACUUCAUGGAGUGAAAUUGGGCAGAUGAAAGUCAUAUAGUUUAUCUUUUAUAGAAUACAUCACUAUAUCGUUUACGUAUCGAUAAACUUCUAUCAAUAUCAUAUACUAUGGAAUUUUGAUUCGUGCUAUUAGCAGUCCGUGUGAUCUUGAAUAAUUGGUGUGAACACGAAAGCUCGCAAGCGUUCACAACAAUUUCCAAUAAGGUUAAUAUCCACAAAAUUACACGGUCGAUUCUACUUUAUUAUCAUUACUUUACAAGAAAAGCACUUUGAAUAAGCACGAUCAACUUCUUUUGACGCAGAUCUAGUAUAAAUAAUAUGUCAAUAAAUUUUCAGAAAUCACAACUAGAGCUUCCAUUUCUCGUAUUCCAAAUACGUUCAAAGCUACUCUUUAGCUAUCUGUUUGUUCCAGGGCAAUCUGCAGGUACAAUCUUUGGACGUAGAGUCCCGAACUGAGCAUGGGAAAUCGCACAUGAAGCUGGAUCGAGGCAUCGAAAGGAAUCAUCGACGAUGCAAUAGCAAGACGGAGCCGCGCGUGUGCGUAUACGUACGCUCGAAGAAACGAUAGGAUAGGCCAAAGGGGUUGGUGGCGGCUCGCGUGGAACUGUAUAAUUAGAUUAGGUACAAGUCGCAUUAGCAUGUCAUGCAUAUUCCAUGAGGCGCGGACUCGACGUCGAGGUGGGAAUCAUAUUGCAUUCGGUAGUUUCGAUGUAGUUCCCUCGCUUUCUCUGCCUCUCCUCUCUCUGUUUCACGCACUUCGUUUUCGUGCUCGAGCUACGCCCGUUUUCUCCUUUUCCUCUUUUGUUUUCGCACGUUUCGUAUCGCCUCCGUUAUUUGUUUGUUAGCCUACGACUAUGUACGAGAAAACGAAACACCGCUUGGAGAAAGGAAUGGCGGAUUCUGAACUGCUAUUGAGUUUGCAAACUAAUGUUUGUGUUCGUUUGAGCACUGCUAUCGAGAUCGUUUAUAGAUCAGACUUCUGAAAUUCCUCUAAAGAAGAAGAAUAUAUCGUCGCUUUUUAGUGCGAACAAAUCCACAAACAGUUCGCAGGCGAAUCGUACGUAUAACACAGUGGAAAAGGUAGCGUGUUCGGAUUUCUAUGUACGUACGAGCAUCCUCGAGAAAUGAAAGCUCGAGGAUCGGAAGCAAACGCUUCCAAGGGAGCACACGGAUGAAAAUAUCCAUAGUUUCAAACUGGCUGGGACUACCGUAUCGCUAUGGACGAAAAAGGGAUGAAAUAAAGUCGUAUACCGUCAUCGCAGUAUUUUUCUCCGGUGGUUCACGAGCUUACACAUCCGGAGUCUUGGCACCGGCAAUAUCUCGUCCAACCCCCGUCUGCUUUCCUCCAUCUCCAGUUUUCUAUCCCAACUCCUUCCGUUCUCCUCUUUGUCCAAAGGAUUCCGGGCCAGCGUCGGGACACGAGCCGUGCAAUA